rnacentral:misc_RNA from 1 species
GUGAAUCAUCGAAUCUUUGAACGCAAAUUGCACUUUCUGGUAUUCAGGAAAGUAUGCAUGUUAGAGGGUCAGUUAAAUAAAAAUCGGUGUUGAUGCUGAUUUUCGUGGUGACGCGUAGGAAUUGAGUUGUCUUACCUUCGGUUAAGUGACUUAAAAUUUUGCAUGAUUUUCGAACGUAUUUAAAUUUCUUACGUACGUGUGAGAUAUCGAAUACUUUAUUAGGGUCGGUCAUCCUCAUGAUUCGCAACUAUAAUUUUUCAUUAAAUGACAGCAAAUCAGGUAGGAGUACCCGCUGAACCGA